GUGCAAUCCUCUACCACUGAAUGUGACAGCAGUAUGCUCAUCGUCAGCAUUGUAGUGUCUGUUGUCAUUGUUCUCACAGGAAGUGCCGUAAACUUCCUGUUGUGGAGGAGAAACCAGUCCCAGAACGUAAAAGGGGGAUUAAAAGAAAAUUCUAACAGCCCAAACACCACGGCGCAUGAACCUUCAG